UUGGUCAUUUAGAGGAAGUAAAAGUCGUAACAAGGUCUCCGUUGGUGAACCAGCGGAGGGAUCAUUACCGAGUUUACAACUCCCAAACCCAUGUGAACAUACCUACUGUUGCUUCGGCGGGAUUGCCCCGGGCGCCUCGUGUGCCCCGGAUCAGGCGCCCGCCUAGGAAACUUAACUCUUGUUUUAUUUUGGAAUCUUCUGAGUAGUUUUUACAAAUAAAUAAAAACUUUCAACAACGGAUCUCUUGGUUCUGGCAUCGAUGAAGAACGCAGCGAAAUGCGAUAAGUAAUGUGAAUUGCAGAAUUCAGUGAAUCAUCGAAUCUUUGAACGCACAUUGCGCCCGCCAGUAUUCUGGCGGGCAUGCCUGUCUGAGCGUCAUUUCAACCCUCAUGCCCCUAGGGCGUGGUGUUGGGGAUCGGCCAAAGCCCGCGAGGGACGGCCGGCCCCUAAAUCUAGUGGCGGACCCGUCGUGGCCUCCUCUGCGAAGUAGUGAUAUUCCGCAUCGGAGAGCGACGAGCCCCUGCCGUUAAACCCCCAACUUUCCAAGGUUGACCUCAGAUCAGGUAGGAAUACCCGCUGAACUUAAGCAUAU
rnacentral:rRNA from 1 species